GACCCUAUGCGACGGUUCGCGGUGAACCCCGUCAGGACCGGAAGGUAGCAGCGGUAAGCCGAAGGAUCGGGCGCCGUAGGUUCUAU
rnacentral:SRP_RNA from 1 species